rnacentral:rRNA from 1 species
CAGUCGCCGCGGUAAUACGAAGGGGGCUAGCGUUGUUCGGAAUUACUGGGCGUAAAGCGCACGUAGGCGGAUAUUUAAGUCAGGGGUGAAAUCCCGCAGCUCAACUGCGGAACUGCCUUUGAUACUGGGUAUCUUGAGUAUGGAAGAGGUUAGUGGAAUUGCGAGUGUAGAGGUGAAAUUCGUAGAUAUUCGCAGGAACACCAGUGGCGAAGGCGGCUAACUGGUCCAUAACUGACGCUGAGGUGCGAAAGCGUGGGGAGCAAACAGGAUUAGAUACCCCUGUAGUCCCUGUCUCUUAUAC